rnacentral:tRNA from 1 species
GCGGGAAUAACUCAGUGGUAGAGUGCAACCUUCCCAAGGUUGAGGUCGCG